CGCGGAGACGCCUCCUCUGCAGGCCAGGAGGGAGUCGCGCGGGAACAACUGUCAACACCUUGUUCUACCAGUCUUAUCGCGCUCGAGUUGCCUCCGCACACCCGAGGGCGGCUUCGGGAUUCGAGCCCACCGCCGCCCGCUCCACGCCUGUGACCUACUGAGGCGUGGUCUGGACCGGUCUCACAGGGCCCUGCCUAAUCUGAGGAUACUGCACAAUAGAGCUCACUGGUGCGAGGAACUCUCCCUGCCCAACCCUGGUGAUGAAAAGAAUAAAAUGCCAAUCUCCAGAGGAAAGAAAGCAACGAUAGAGAAACGAGGAAUGUAGGAAAGCAGAAAGAUCAUAAUCAAACCCCUGCUAACCAUGAAAGCACACGAGAAAGUUUUCUCAGUUUUGAAUGAUAUUCACAUUGGAAACAAAUAGGAUUAUACACAUUCUUAUCUGACUAGCUAUAACUCCUAUCAACCACUCUCAAAAAAAGAAAAAAUCAAAAUGCAACUUGAUGAGAGUGAAGAUAUUAUGGGACAACAAAUCUCCCCAACCCCAUAUGAAGAUACAGCAAGAAGAGACCAUCCACAAACCAUGGAAUCUACCAAACUUGAUCUUGGAAUCCCCUGACUCCAG